GAUGAACGCUGGCGGCGUGCCUAAUACAUGCAAGUCGAGCGAACAGACGAGGAGCUUGCUCCUCUGACGUUAGCGGCGCACGGGUGAGUAACACGUGUAUAACCUACCUAUCAUACUGGGAUAACUUCGGGACACCGGCUCUAAUACCGGAUAAUAUAUUGAACCGCAUGGUUCAAUAGUGAAAUUCGGUUUUUCUGUCACUAAUCGCUGGUUCCGCGCUGCAUUAGCUAGUUGGUAAGUUAAUGGCUUAUCAAGGCGACGAUGCGUAGACGAACUGAGAGGGUGAUAGGCCACACUGGAACGGAGACACGGUCCAGACUCCUACGGGAGGGAGCAGUCGGGAAUGUUCCGCAAUGGGCGAAAGCCUGGCGGAGCAACGCCGCGUGAGAGAUGAAGGUCUUCGGAUCGUAAAACUCUGUUAUUAGGGAAGAACAAAUGUGUAAGUAAAUAUGCACGUCUUGACGGUACCUAAUAAAAAAGCAACGGCUAACUACGUG
rnacentral:rRNA from 1 species